GUUCAUCCUUGCUUUGGAAGUUGUCCAGUAAGUGCUGGAAAUGAGUGUCUGACAUCUGACGGAGCAAAGAUAAAAGACAGGACACAUAUUCUCCCUGUUGACAAGAUAAGAAAUUAUUUAGUUCAGACAAUCUGAAAUUUCAUAAAUAUAAAACUCAACCUAGGGUAAGGUAUAAAGGGAGGGGUCUGAAAUGGCCCCAAUGCCUAUGAAAGGAAAGCUGACAUGCACAGAAAUUAAAAAUACUGCAUUAACAGUUAACAGUUCUUGAAUUACUGUUAAUAUACAGGAAUACACCUUUUACAGGCUCUCCCACAGAUGCCAUUUUUAAAAGACUUAGCAAGUGUUGUAGUCUAAACAAAAAUAAUUUGUAAUUACUAUUACAGACAUUAACGAAUCUCCCUCCAAGCAUGCAGUUUUUGACAGUCACCUUCUCGGUUACUUUAUACUCAAUAUACUAUGCUAACAAAGGUGGGACUGUUGCUCAUGCAGACAUACCAGGAAUAUUUUAAACUAAUUGGCUGAUAUACUGAAAACAGUAUAGCGAUAACAGCAUGGGAUCAGUAUGGGCUACGAAAGGUGUCUGGAAUCUUGUAAAUAUUUGGCUGAUUAGUGUUCACCAAAUUACAUGCCGUCAUAGCUACAAUAUUAAUAGUAUUCCAUUAAGAUACUCUGAACAUAGCUUGGGUAAGCCUACAUGAGCUACAAUUACAUUUCUGGCCUGCAAAGCAUAUGCACCCUAACCAGUUACCACAGUAUCCCAAAAUGUUUUCCAAAGAUGGGCUCCCCCAUUCUACACAUCUGAAAGUAAAGCACAGAGAAGUUAAGCAAUUUGUCCAAGAUAAUAAGCGUGGCAGUGGCAAGAAGGUAAGGAGUAUGUCUUUUGUCUGCCAAUCCUUUGCAAAACAUACAAACUACUUUCUAAUCAGUAUCUAAAAAGAUUACACACAUCACUGUGCUGUAAAAUACACAUUCAGGAACAAAUAUGAUGGGUUUUUAUAACUGUGACUUUCCCUUCCAUUUUUAUUUUUUAAAAUUGGCUCAAGCACCAACACAGAAGCUUUGACAUAUGUUGUUCCAAUAAACUUCAUAGGGAUGAACUUCAUUGGGAAAAAUAGUGUGCUCUUGUAUGUGAGGUGGUAUGUGAUAAAUAAUGGUAAGUCAAAUGGCAGAAGUAAAAGGAAGCUGAGAUGUUACUGGACAUUUUAAGAACUAUGAAAUGCCUUGUUCUUUAUUAGGAUUCUACCAUUUAUUAGUUCCUUUGAGCUACCAUAGAAAGACACCAUCUUUUCAUUUAUGUGAAAAGUGUACCUUAGUGUACACUUGUCCCCCCAGCAUCUCUAAGGUUUCAGCCUUUUGAUAAAAAAAAAAAAAAAAAGCAAAGGACAAUCUAGAGCAAAG